GGGCCAGUAGCUCAUCUGGUAGAGCACCUGCUUUGCACGCAGGGGGUGGCGGGUUCGAGUCCUGUCUGGUCCACAA
rnacentral:tRNA from 1 species